rnacentral:rRNA from 1 species
AUUGAACGCUGCGGCAGGCCUAACACAUGCAAGUCGAACGGUAGCACAGAGAGCUUGCUCUCGGGUGACGAGUGGCGGACGGGUGAGUAACGUCUGGGAAACUGCCCGAUGGAGGGGGAUAACUACUGGAAACGGUAGCUAAUACCGCAUAACGUCGCAAGACCAAAGUGGGGGACCUUCGGGCCUCACACCAUCGGAUGUGCCCAGAUGGGAUUAGCUAGUAGGUGGGGUAAUGGCUCACCUAGGCGACGAUCCCUAGCUGGUCUGAGAGGAUGACCAGCCACACUGGAACUGAGACACGGUCCAGACUCCUACGGGAGGCAGCAGUGGGGAAUAUUGCACAAUGGGCGCAAGCCUGAUGCAGCCAUGCCGCGUGUAUGAAGAAGGCCUUCGGGUUGUAAAGUACUUUCAGCGGGGAGGAAGGCGGUGAAGUUAAUAGCUUCACCGAUUGACGUUACCCGCAGAAGAAGCACCGGCUAACUCCGUGCCAGCCGCCGCAGUAC